rnacentral:snoRNA from 12 species
GUGUCAUUUUAAAAUUGUUGCAGUGCUUUAAGAGGCUAAAACAGAAGGGUAUAGUAAUCUUCAUAAAACCCAAAGAAGAGAUUUCAAAACUCCUAUUUGGAUCCUGUCUGGAGUCACAGCG